rnacentral:rRNA from 1 species
CCUACGGGAGGCAGCAGUGGGGAAUAUUGCGCAAUGGGGGCAACCCUGACGCAGCAACGCCGCGUGAUUGAAGAAGGCCUUCGGGUUGUAAAGAUCUUUAAUCGGGGACGAAUUUUGACGGUACCCGAAGAAUAAGCUCCGGCUAACUACGUGCCAGCAGGCGCGGUAAUACGGAGGGAGCAAGCGUUAUCCGGAUUUACUGGGGGUAUAGGGCGUGUAGGCGGGCAAGCAAGCCAGAAGUGAAAUCUAGGGGCUUAACCCCCAAACUGCCUUUGGAACUGCGUGGCUUGAGUGAUGGAGAGGCAGGCGGAAUUCCCGGUGUAGCGGUGAAAUGCGUAGAUAUUGGGAAGAACACCGAUUGCGAAGGCAGCCUACGGGACAUUUACUGACGCUGAGGCGCGAAGGCGUGGGGAGCAAACAGGAUUAGAUACCCCAGUAGUC